UUAUGGUCGUUAUGUAUUUGUUUCCAUAUUAUUUCUUCACGAUGGCAUUUAGUAACUAAAAGGUUAAAAGAUCAUAUGCGAUAUGUACGACGUAGAACAAAUCAGUUGCCAGACUGUUUUCACGUGAGCGUAGACAAAGUUGUGUUUAUUUGGUUAGAAUAACGAUUAACCAUUGUAACGGAAAAAUCACAAAAAAUGCCCAAAGUGGCUAAGGAGAAAAACAAAGCACUCGAGAAAAUUUAAAUAAUAGCAAAACAGCUAUUAAGAGAAGCAAAGAAAAAAAUCUUUAUGCAAUAAUGUUAAACCUAUCUAUAAUUUUACGUAGAGAACAAUUCACUUGUAAGUAUUCCCUUUUAGCCGCCUAAGCAGAAAAUAUAAGAUCCCCAUAAAUUGGCUGAUUAUCAACAUGGAAAAUGAAAUAUCUAUGACGACAAUAUGUGUAAGAAUCAUAUGGUUAUAACGAAUCGGAUGAAAUAUGCCCGAUGGGAAGAAAGUCAGAAACAAUGCAGAGAGAAAGGUACUUUAAAUACAAAAAAUAGUACAUUUUAUAGUCUUUGUUGUAUUAGAAAUAUUUCAAGGUUUUAUAUGUCCAAUUUAUUUUAAAUCUGUAUAUGAACGUGCGCUAGAUGUUGAUCAUAGAAACAUUAAAUUAUGGCUAUAUUAUAUUGAAACAGAAAUGCACAAUAAGUAAAUAUAUUAUGCUAGAAAUUUAUUAGAUCGUGCAGUCAUAGUUUUACAUACAACAAAUCAAUUUUGAUACAAAUAUACAUAUAUGGAAGAAAUGUUAGAAAAUAUUACUGGUAAGGUUUGAUAUAAAAUUAGGGAUUAUUUUUUAUUAUGUAACUUGAUUUUAUAGAGAUUUAUUAUAGAAGCACGUCAAGUUUUUGAGCGAUGGAUGGAAUGGGGACCUGACUAACAGGCAUAGUAAACAUAUAUUAAAUAUGAAUUACUAUAUAAAGAAAUACAAUAAGCUAGGUAGAGAUAUAUAUUUGUAUAGAGAGAUAUAUAGUUCUGUAAAAAAUUUAGAACGCAAAGUUUAUGAAGGUGUUAUAAACUUUUUCGGAGAUGAGAACUUAGAUGAAAAGCUAUUUAUAGCAUUUGCAAGAUUUGAAGAAGGACAGAAAGAAGUAUUAUUUUAAAAUAACAAUAUAUUUAGUAUCUCUGUUAUAUUAAGUAUAAUUUUAAUAUUUCUUUGAUAGCAUGAUAGAGCAAAAAUAAUCUCUAAGUAUGCUUUAGACAAUAUUUCAAAAAUAAGAACAAAAAAAAUAUUUAAUGCAUAUGUCAUACAUGAAAAGAAAUAUGGUGAUUUUGUAUUGAAGAUGUAAUAAUUAGUAAAAGAAAAUAUCAAUAUGAACCAGAAGUCAAGGUUCUUGAAAAUUCUUCCAACUAUGAUGCUUGGUUUGACUAUCUGAGAUUAGUAAAAUCUAAAGAAAAUCAUAAUGUAUUAAGAGCGUAUGAACGAGCUAUAGCAAAUUGCCCUUCUACUAAGGAGCAUGGAAACGAUAUAUCUAUCUGUACAUAAAUUAUGCUUUGUAUGAAGAAAUUGACCUGGAAGUUAUAGGUAAAUGUCGUCAAGUUUCAGGUAGAUUUGCCGCGCGUCUCAUGGCCCGCCCUUCCUUUGUCUUUCGUUAUCUAUAAAUUCUUUUGUUACCUACAAAUCAAGCCGUUAAGAUUUGGGGAGAGAAACGAACAGUAAGAAAUAGAUCGUAGACGAGAGUAAUAAUUAGUAAAUAAAAUUUAACAGAGUGAACAAUAAACGUGAAUUGUCGUUUCUUUGUUCACAGAAUCAGUUUAGAUCUUAUUCUACAUAAAGAUUUCACAUUUUCUAAGAUAUGGCUAUGUUAUGCAUAUUUCGAAAUACAACAAAAAAAUUUUAUUGUAGCGAGAAAAACAUUAGUAUGGUAUUGGAUGUGUAUCCCAAAGACAAAUUGUUCCGUGGUUACAAUGAUUUAGAGGUACAAUGUAGAAAAUUUGACAGAUGCAGGAUUCUGUAUGAAAAAUUAUUUGAAUUUGCACUUCAAAACUGCACAAUGUAAAUGAAAGAAAACUAUAGUUACAUUUAUCUUAUGUUUUAUUGUAUUUAUAUUUAUUUAAUUGUUAUAAUGUCUAUAAAGUUUCUAAAAUAAUUAGAAACUUUAUUAGGAGACUUUGACCGUACUAGUGCUAUUUAUGAAUUAGCUGUGUCUUAGGCGAAUUAAGUUAUAUUUUUAUAAAUUACUACUAAAUGUAAUUAAACCUGUCUUUUACAUUUAUUUUUAUUUUUUAUCAAAAACAUGUUUAAUAUUUUUAUUAUUUGUAUUAUUAGUUUGAAUAUGCCUGAACUUUUAUGGAAGUCAUAUAUAGAUUUUGAAAUAUACAGGAUGAAAUAGGAAAUACCAGACAACUAUUUGAGAGAUUAUUAGAACGAAAUGUUCAUGUCAAAGUAAGCGUGAUUUCAUGGUAUGAUUAUAUAUAUAUAUAUAAAACUUAAUUUAUAAAUCUUCUUACAUUAUAAUACACGCGUUUGGAUAGCUUAUGCUAAAUUUGAAUUAGUUAAUUCUCCAUCGGAAGAUGAUGUUGAUAAUGUUAAAUAGUAGAAUAACAUUAAAUAGUUUUGGACGAAUUUAAAUUGAAAAGAAGUAUUCUUAAUUUAUAUUAAAACUAAUCUGUAUUAAAUAGAAGAUAUUUGGCUUCGAGAAAAAGAAUUCGACUUCAUAUUCUCAGAAGAGGAAUAUCCAAGAGCAAAUCUUAACUUCUUGGCAUUAGCGAAAGCGUGGAUAAAGCAAAAAAUUUCUAAUGAAACUGCUCAAAAUGAAAAUUAACAAUUAGAAUCGGACAAUUAAAAAUAAUUUAUAUCUUUUGUAUUAUUAUUAUAUUUAUAUUGUGUAAAUAGGCAAUAUAAGUAUUGUGGAGAAUUUUAUAUUUAUCUUGACUUAUUUAUAAAG